CAGCACCUUCAGGUUACAGGCCUUUUGACGACAGGCUGCUGGAGUCUAGCGACACCACAGGGCCUUAUCUCAGCCCAGCCCUUUGAAGCAAGGUGUUGUCAGCCAUUGCCACAGCCAUUUUCUUAUCCCAAGAGAGGAAGCUGCCUCUGCAGGCUCCGAGGCCCUCCCUGGUCACAGUCUGGGUGUUUGAAAGAGCAGAAGGAGCACCUCUAACAGGAGGCCAAGUCUUCAACACGCGAGCCUUCUGAAAAGGUGUGCUUCCUGCUCAAACAAGAAGACUAGCGAUCCAAAGUAGGCUGAGAAUGCAGGAAGAUUGGCAGCCUGAAUCCAGGUCCAGAGAGCGAUGAAGUGGUCGUUUGCCUGAGCGUAGCUCUGACCAGGUAACCACAGCUGCUGAGAGUUUAAGAAGAUAAUGGCCAACGUCGUGUUUGAUGGACCACAUUCCACAACACUUUUAUUGCAAAAGAGGUGUGUGGGGGGAUGUUUUGUCCACCUAGGACAAACCUUGGUAGCAGUCAUUAAAUUGUUAGUGGACCCAAGACUAUUGCCAGAUUGGCAAGCGUUGGGAUCAGAAUGGGCUCUGACCCCUCUAAGAUUGCCCCCACCCACCUCCCCUGUUCUGAGUGCGCUGAGGUCAGGCUCUUUGGCGGAUGUUUUGCUGUUUGGUAUAUCUCUUGGUUUGGCAGCUGUGGCUUCCUGGGGCAUGCUGACCGUUCCUUGACCCUGGGUACUUGAUAAACAAUUUUGUUUGUUCCUCCUGAAAGGGUAUAUAAGGUGGGGAAGAAAGAAUAAAAGAGUCCUGAUGC